GAUGAACGCUGGCGGCGUGCCUAAUACAUGCAAGUCGAGCGAACGGACGAGAAGCUUGCUUCUCUGAUGUUAGCGGCGGACGGGUGAGUAACACGUGGAUAACCUACCUAUAAGACUGGGAUAACUUCGGGGAACCGGAGCUAAUACCGGAUAAUAUUUUGAACCGCAUGGUUCAAAAGUGAAAGACGGUCUUGCUGUCACUUAUAGAUGGAUCCGCGCUGCAUUAGCUAGUUGGUAAGGUAACGGCUUACCAAGGCAACGAUGCAUAGCCGACCUGAGAGGGUGAUCGGCCACACUGGAACUGAGACACGGUCCAGACUCCUACGGGAGGCAGCAGUAGGGAAUCUUCCGCAAUGGGCGAAAGCCUGACGGAGCAACGCCGCGUGAGUGAUGAAGGUCUUCGGAUCGUAAAACUCUGUUAUUAGGGAAGAACAUAUGUGUAAGUAACUGUGCACAUCUUGGCGGUACCUAAUCAGAAAGCCACGGCUAACUACGUG
rnacentral:rRNA from 1 species